UACAGAGGUGGCAAGCGUUGUUCGGAAUUACUGGGCGUAAAGGGCGCGUAGGCGGCCUUCUAAGUCAGACGUGAAAUCCCCCGGCUUAACCUGGGAACUGCGUCUGAUACUGGGAGGCUAGAGUAUGGGAGAGGGAUGUAGAAUUCCAGGUGUAGCGGUGAAAUGCGUAGAGAUCCGGAAGAACACCGGUGGCGAAGGCGGCCUGCUGGGACAUGGCUGACGCUGAGGCGCGACAGCGUGGGGAGCAAACAGG
rnacentral:rRNA from 1 species